UAAAUAAAUGGAAAUUUUUUUCGAUAAGUUUAUCAUCAAGUUCACAUAUAACGAAAAUCGAAUGAUAUAAAUUACAUCUCAACUCAACGAUAUCAUUUAAUCUAGAAUAAGAAACUUUUCGCUGCUUAUUGCUCUAUUUGUUGGUGAAAGACGAUAAAUUUAUUCACUUGUGAAAAAUGAUGAAAAUUAUGAUAUUCAUAUUCUUACUGGCAUUGUUUUCUAUCGGAGCAAAUGCUUGUGCAGGCCAAGGAAGGCCGUGUGGAGGGACUCGGUGCUGCACUGGGUACAGUUGCAAGCUAGAUCUUUUUGACGAAUGGAAAUGUGCCGCUGACUCACCUCGAUUGGGUUGAGUGGGAAAUAGUUUUAAUUUUAUUGAACACUGUAAGAGUUACCAUAAUUAAUAAUGUACCCUCUGCUAAUAAGUAAUCAAAUUAUAUAUGAAAAAUUAUUUUCGACUUGUAAGAUAUUUUACAUAAAUUAAAUUUUAAAAAUAAUAAAUCGCACAUGUAAUUUAUUCUAAAAAAGUCAUCAUCGUUUUUUUUUAAUAUAUAAUUACAUACUUGCAAUAAAUUAUUAAAAAUAAUUACAUUAGUAGCUUUGAUCAAUAAAAAUGGAAUUUAAUGAGUUAUUUAUUACAUAAUUACUGUCUAACUAGACAACAGACCAGUAUUUAAAUUGACGAAAACCAGAAAAAUGAAUAAGUAAUUACAUUAAGACGGAAAUCUAUCAGUAUAUAUAAGCGGCGGGUACAGAAAAUUUUGCGAUUAUAUCUUUUCUCUCACUGAAAAAAUGUCCAAGUUAAUUAUUUUCAUGUGUUUGGUUGCAUUGUUCGCUGUUGGAGCAAACGCUUGCGCAAAUCAUGGAGACGACUGCACAAGCGAGUCAUGCUGCUCUGGAUAUACUUGUAAGCAAAAUUACUUUCAACAGCUAACGUGUUCAGCUGACAUUCCUCGAUGGGGUGACAAACGAAAUUUUUAAAUUAAUUUGUCAGAAUCACUAUUAAUGUACACUGUAAUUAAUAAUGCAAUUAUUAAUUAAUCUAUCGAUUACAUGAAAAAAUAAACAAUUCAGUUGAAAAAAUAUCUUAAAUUAUUUACAGACUUUAUAGUCGAUAAAUCCUGAUACCCGAUUCCAAUAUUCCAGCCUAUGAAAUAUUUCUUCGAAAUCUGGUAAAUAUGUCGAACUUUUGAAAAUACGACGAUGACCAAAAAAAAUUGUAUUUUGGUAAAUUUUUGAGGGAAUCCGUUCUGCCCCGGGGUCAUCCUCUAACUAAUAAAAAAUAGUGUGUUAAUACUCAUUUAUUGACAUGAGAAUUCAUUAUUUUUACAAUUCGAUUCUCAGGCGUUCCAACUAAAAAUAUAUUUUUAUCUUAUGGUAAAUAAUAAUUGUCUCACACGGAAAGAAUUUUUUAAUAAAAAUUACUCUGUAAUUUCGAGUAAUCCUGGGCCGUUGCAAAAAAUUGGUAUUUUUUGUUUUAAAUUAAAUAUUUUUUGUUUAAAUAUUAACGUUGCUAGACCAUGUUUUACUCUACUACUGAGUAAUUUUUUAAAAGUCUUAUAUUUAAUCGAUUAUCGUGAAUAUCUCAUCUUAAUCUAUUAAUUUUUACUCCAUGCGAUUAAUUUUUACUCCCCAAUAUACCAUUCUUUUAAACCCGUUAACUUUUUGAUGAAAAACUGCUUAUAACUCAAAUAAAUUUUCUUAUCUAUGGAAGUAAUUUUUACUCUAAACUGCAAAGUAAUAUUUCAGUAGUCUCCGUUAAUCUUCGGUUAAUAUCGGCUUCAAUUAAAUGUCUUUUAUUUUGCUCGCGACAACUUACAUGUUACGCACACAAACGUAGGCUUGGAAAAAAAGACGAUCUCUGUAUCUCUCUAUAACUUAAUAUUUAUUUUAAAAUUAAAAAAAAAUUUGUAUCUUUUCUUUUUCAACACAAUAAGAGUAAUUUUUUUUUUAUUCUUUUUCAAAAUAUUUAUUUUAAGUCAUAUUCUAAGGCAAUUAGAUGGUUUUUAGAUUUUUUAUGAAAAUUUCAGCCUAUUAAUUGUAAUGUUUAUUGUAAUUCAAUAUAAAUUUUAUAAAUUGAAUCAUCAACUUUUUAUCAUAACUUACGAGUAAAAAUUGAAUUAGAGAGAAUUUAUUUAGACAUCCGCUAGGGGUAAUUUUUACUCGUAAUUGUGAGUAAAAAUUAAUCUGAUUGAUUUUUACUCACUGAAAGAGUAAAAUUUCGUAAUUUGAAAGUAAAAAGUCGUAAUGGCCCAAGAUUACUCGAUUUAGAGUAAUUUUUAGAAUAAAUAACAUGGCAAUAUUCAUACGAAAAUUCUUUCCGUGCAGUAUUUAGAAAGAACGAAAUAUAUGAAUUAAAAUUUAUUAGGAAAAUUAACUGAUUAUUGACUGUAAUAUUAGUCAAAUAAAUCUGAAUAUCGAUAUACUUCGACUUCAGCCAUUUUCAAUAAUUUAAAAAAUCAACUAAUAAAAUACGUGAAGGUAUAGUAUUAGGGAUAGAAGUAUGUUUUGAUCAAAGUUAAAUGCGUGAGUUAAAUAUACGAUUUUUGGACCAUUAUUGAGACAUACGAAAUCAUAUAAAUGACUAUUGAUAAAUUUGUGCUUCCCUCAGUAACUCUAUUGCGAAUUUAUUUUUCAAGUUUAUAAUUUCGAAUAGAAAAUAGUCUCGUUUUUCAUUGAAUAACGUUGAUAAUAUUCGCAGUAAGUAUUUAAAUAUAAUUAUUUGAUAUUUUUAAUUGCUUUUAAUAGCUACCACAAGGUUGUCACGUGAUAAUAUUCAUAUAUGACGCAUGUAGAUUACUUUUAUAAUAACGACCAGAAAAAAAGUAACCGAUAGAUAGCAAAGACAGCAAUUAUUAUUUUGAGUAUAAAACGGGGCAAAUAUUUACUGGCUAUCACAACUUUUGCGUCGACUGUCUUCUAACAAGCGCCUAACUGCGAUAUAUGAACACAAAUUUUAAAAAAAUGUCAAAGUUCACUAUUUUGUUGAUGUGUAUAGCUGCAUUGAUUGCCGUUGUAAACAGUAAAAGUUAUUAUACUAAUAGUCUUCAAUAUGUAGGUUGUCCAGGUUGUAAAGUUCAUGGAGCAAAGUGUGACCCGUCGGAACCACAAGAUUGCUGCAUAGGUUAUGACUGCCAAAAAAAUGACGUUGAGUAUGUGUGUAGGAAAGAAAAAGACGACAUAUGGAUGUAGACAGUCCCCUGAGAAAUAAAAGUAAAAAGUAUAAUCGCUUAUUCUAUAAAUUGUUGAAUUAUAUGUAAAAUUACUUUGAGUUGUAGAGGUUCAAAAAAAUGCAUUCAAUAAAAUUAACUGUUUGACUUACUAAAAA